GGGGGGAACUCACAGAUGAAGUCCAACGGAGAAGACAUGACUACACUGGGAGCCCGGAAUGCUGCUUCCUGGCCACGCUCUCCCUCUAACCUCCAUGUCUCCACCGGGGCUGAGCCUUUGGGAAUGAAAAUGCACAAUAACAGCUUGCAAAGUCCUGAAGACUGUUUCUGUCAACAGCAGCUCUGUGUGAGCCGUGCUCCCUGACUGCAUCUUUGUGAGGCCUUUCAGACACAGACAUAGGACAUGAAGAUAAAGCCAGAUUCCCUAAGAUGUCUUCUUGGACAUUUCCAGAAGAUGGUACAGGACUGAACUCAUAGGUUACCAGCCAUCCAGGGGAAACUGACCAAUUGUUGAGAACCAAGAAACUGAGGAAGGCACUGCCCAGUUGUGCUUGCUUUGCAUUUUACCCGAGGAGAGUGAAUUUGUGUGGGAAGGAGUUGCCCAAGUCUCCUAUUCUAAGACUGAAGGUAUUAUUUUGAGGGCACUUAAAGGCCAGCUACAGUGGAGAGAAGAUCAGCCUUCAACACAUUCAUGCAAACCAGAGCCUGAAGACCUAAAAGCUCCUGGUGCCUGGAGAAUCAAAUCCACGCAGAGCAGCAGACCAGCAGCCCGUCUGAUAAAGCCAAUGAAUGACACGUGUAAAAUAGCCUGGGGAACAGCACCGGUAAAUAGAAUGAGUGAGUCUGUGAGGUGAUCCCAAUGAUGACUUUUGAGGAAAUGCUUUGGCUUAUCCAGAUUCAAAUCUGAAUGAAAUGCUGCAAUAUUUCCAGAAACAUGAGGCAUCAAUUAGUCACCAAGAGAGGAAAGAUUGACGUUGACUUUCAUGAUGGAAAUAGAGAUUCCUGCCCCUACUUCACCCCUCACCUUUCUUAGAAUGACACUUAGAAAACCGAGCCUGAUAAUAAAAGGCAAACCAAAGAAUAAAUGGAAGGUGAUAGCCAGAAAGAAUAUCUGUCAAUAAAAUCUUAGGUGCAGUUCUGAGUCUCAGUCCUCGGGAUGCAUUCCCACGGUGGCACAGAGUAAUAUCAAGAAUGUAUUUAUAGUUCGAUGAACACUUGGGGAAAGGAACCACUUGACCCAGAAAGCCAGUUCUCGGUCAACUCAUCUUCGACAA